UUGCUUCUAUGACGUUAGCGGCGGACGGGUGAGUAACACGUGGGCAACCUGCCUGUAAGACUGGGAUAACUUCGGGAAACCGAAGCUAAUACCGGAUAGGAUCUUCUCCUUCAUGGGAGAUGAUUGAAAGAUGGUUUCGGCUAUCACUUACAGAUGGGCCCGCGGUGCAUUAGCUAGUUGGUGAGGUAACGGCUCACCAAGGCAACGAUGCAUAGCCGACCUGAGAGGGUGAUCGGCCACACUGGGACUGAGACACGGCCCAGACUCCUACGGGAGGCAGCAGUAGGGAAUCUUCCGCAAUGGACGAAAGUCUGACGGAGCAACGCCGCGUGAGUGAUGAAGGCUUUCGGGUCGUAAAACUCUGUUGUUAGGGAAGAACAAGUACAAGAGUAACUGCUUGUACCUUGACGGUACCUAACCAGAAAGCCACGGCUAACUACGUGCCAGCAGCCGCGGUAAUACGUAGGUGGCAAGCGUUAUCCGGAAUUAUUGGGCGUAAAGCGCGCGCAGGCGGUUUCUUAAGUCUGAUGUG
rnacentral:rRNA from 1 species